rnacentral:rRNA from 1 species
UACGGAGGGUGCAAACGUUGCUCGGAAUCAUUGGGCGUAAAGCGCACGUAGGCGGACCAUCAAGUCGGAUGUGAAAUCCCUCGGCUUAACUGAGGACGUGCAUUCGAAACUGAUGGCCUUGAGUACGAAAGAGGAUCGCGGAAUUCCCGGUGUAGAGGUGAAAUUCGUAGAUAUCGGGAGGAACACCCGUGGCGAAGGCGACUCUCUGGUACGUGCCUGACGCUGAGACGCGAAAGCGUGGGGAGCAAACGGG